UACGGGGGGGGCAAGCGUUGUUCGGAAUUACUGGGCGUAAAGGGCUCGUAGGCGGCCAACUAAGUCAGACGUGAAGUCCCCAGGCUCAACCUGGGAACUGCGUCUGAUACUGGAUGGCUUGAAUCCGGGAGAGGGAUGCAGAAUUCCAGGUGUAGCGGUGAAAUGCGUAGAUAUCUGGAGGAAUACCGGUGGCGAAGGCGGCAUCCUGGACCGGCAUUGACGCUGAGGAGCGAAGGCCAGGGGAGCAAACGGG
rnacentral:rRNA from 1 species